rnacentral:tRNA from 1 species
GUUAUUGUAGCUUACCACAAAGCAUGGCACUGAAGUUGCCAAGAUGGGUAGUUACAAACCCCGAAAACA